AGGGACCUCCCCGGGUGCUCGCCCCUAGCGGCGGCGGCGAGCUUCACGGGGGUGUGAUUCUGGUUUCGCGGCUAUUCGUAUCUGCUGUAGGGGGUGGGGGUGUUACAGAUCAAGUUAGACUGCAUAUAAAAGGUAGAGCACCAGUAUCGUCGUAGAUGGAUGACAAUACUGAUUCGGAAGGUGUCCGGUCAAGUAAUGAAGCUAAAAGAUCGAAGCAAACCUCCAGAGAAGAUGAACACACAAGCACCUGUGAUGGCGGCUCUUUAAGAGCGGCAGUGCCAAUGAAUUUGGAAGGAUGUUCAACCAAAUUGACCAUCUGUGAAGGAGAAGAUGGCACUGAGUCAUCUAAUGGAGAUGUGUUGAUCUUUCCAGAUAUGAUCAGAUACAAAGCCUUCUAACUAAUAAGCUUGUUUAGGCUUUUAAAGCCAACUACUUCUUAUUUUUCAAUCUGUAACAUAAUGCUUGCAGAGGUCUGACUCAUUUUGACGUCGACAACUUUGUUGAAGAAGUACUUGUGAAGGAUACUGAGUGGCUUCCUGGAUCUCCUGAGGCUAUCAGCGAGUCCUAUGUCUUCACCUUCUUCAUCAUUUCUUUUAAUUAAAUUUUAUUUCUAUCUCUAUAAACCAGGGUGUAAUUCUGGAGAACAACAUUGCAGGGACCAGAAGGAGCCAUACUUGAAGAUUUCCAAACAGGCAUCAUUGCGUUGUUAGACCACUAA